GUGUCAGCAGCCGCGGUAAUACAGGGGGGGCAAGCGUUGUUCGGAAUUACUGGGCGUAAAGGGUUCGUAGGUGGCCAACUAAGUCAGAUGUGAAAUCCCUCAGCUUAACUGGGGAACUGCUUCUGAAACUGGUUGGCUUGAGUGCAGGAGAGGAAUGCGGAAUUCCAGGUGUAGCGGUGAAAUGCGUAGAUAUCUGGAGGAACACCGGUGGCGAAGGCGGCAUUCUGGACUGUAACUGACACUGAGGAACGAAAGCCAGGGGAGCAAACGGGAUUAGAUACCCGCGUAGUCC
rnacentral:rRNA from 1 species